AAAUUGAAGAGUUUGAUCAUGGCUCAGAUUGAACGCUGGCGGCAGGCCUAACACAUGCAAGUCGAACGGUAACAGGAAGCAGCUUGCUGCUUUGCUGACGAGUGGCGGACGGGUGAGUAAUGUCUGGGAAACUGCCUGAUGGAGGGGGAUAACUACUGGAAACGGUGGCUAAUACCGCAUAACGUCGCAAGACCAAAGAGGGGGACCUUCGGGCCUCUUGCCAUCAGAUGUGCCCAGAUGGGAUUAGCUUGUUGGUGAGGUAACGGCUCACCAAGGCGACGAUCCCUAGCUGGUCUGAGAGGAUGACCAGCCACACUGGAACUGAGACACGGUCCAGACUCCUACGGGAGGCAGCAGUGGGGAAUAUUGCACAAUGGGCGCAAGCCUGAUGCAGCCAUGCCGCGUGUAUGAAGAAGGCCUUCGGGUUGUAAAGUACUUUCAGCGGGGAGGAAGGUGUUGUGGUUAAUAACCRCAGCAAUUGACGUUACCCGCAGAAGAAGCACCGGCUAACUCCGUGCCAGCAGCCGCGGUAAUACGGAGGGUGCAAGCGUUAAUCGGAAUUACUGGGCGUAAAGCGCACGCAGGCGGUCUGUCAAGUCGGAUGUGAAAUCCCCGGGCUCAACCUGGGAACUGCAUUCGAAACUGGCAGGCUUGAGUCUUGUAGAGGGGGGUAGAAUUCCAGGUGUAGCGGUGAAAUGCGUAGAGAUCUGGAGGAAUACCGGUGGCGAAGGCGGCCCCCUGGACAAAGACUGACGCUCAGGUGCGAAAGCGUGGGGAGCAAACAGGAUUAGAUACCCUGGUAGUCCACGCCGUAAACGAUGUCUACUUGGAGGUUGUGCCCUUGAGGCGUGGCUUCCGGAGCUAACGCGUUAAGUAGACCGCCUGGGGAGUACGGCCGCAAGGUUAAAACUCAAAUGAAUUGACGGGGGCCCGCACAAGCGGUGGAGCAUGUGGUUUAAUUCGAUGCAACGCGAAGAACCUUACCUGGUCUUGACAUCCACGGAAGUUUUCAGAGAUGAGAAUGUGCCUUCGGGAACCGUGAGACAGGUGCUGCAUGGCUGUCGUCAGCUCGUGUUGUGAAAUGUUGGGUUAAGUCCCGCAACGAGCGCAACCCUUAUCCUUUGUUGCCAGCGRUUMGGYCGGGAACUCAAAGGAGACUGCCAGUGAUAAACUGGAGGAAGGUGGGGAUGACGUCAAGUCAUCAUGGCCCUUACGACCAGGGCUACACACGUGCUACAAUGGCGCAUACAAAGAGAAGCGACCUCGCGAGAGCAAGCGGACCUCAUAAAGUGCGUCGUAGUCCGGAUUGGAGUCUGCAACUCGACUCCAUGAAGUCGGAAUCGCUAGUAAUCGUGGAUCAGAAUGCCACGGUGAAUACGUUCCCGGGCCUUGUACACACCGCCCGUCACACCAUGGGAGUGGGUUGCAAAAGAAGUAGGUAGCUUAACCUUCGGGAGGGCGCUUACCACUUUGUGAUUCAUGACUGGGGUGAAGUCGUAACAAGGUAACCGUAGGGGAACCUGCGGUUGG
rnacentral:rRNA from 1 species